rnacentral:rRNA from 1 species
UGCCAGCCGCCGCGGUAAGACGGAGGGCGCAAGCGUUGUUCGGAAUUACUGGGCGUAAAGCGCGGGCAGGUGGUCUGUUAAGUCGUUUGUGAAAACCCGGGGCUCAACCCCGCGGAAUGCAGACGAUACUGGCAGACUGGAGAUCGGUAGAGGCUAGCGGAAUUCCAGGUGUAGCGGUGGAAUGCGUAGAUAUCUGGAAGAACACCCGUGGCGAAGGCGGCUAGCUGGGCCGAGUCUGACACUCAUCCGCGAAAGCGUGGGGAGCAAACAGGAUUAGAUA